CGGGACGGGGUGAGUAAUGUCUGGGAAACUGCCUGAUGGAGGGGGAUAACUACUGGAAACGGUAGCUAAUACCGCAUAACGUCGCAAGACCAAGAGGGGGACCGUUCGGGCCUCUUGCCAUCGGAUGUGCCCAGAUGGGAUUAGCUAGUAGGUGGGGUAACGGCUCACCUAGGCGACGAUCCCUAGCUGGUCUGAGAGGAUGACCAGCCACACUGGAACUGAGACACGGUCCAG
rnacentral:rRNA from 1 species